UACGUAGGUGACAAGCGUUGUCCGGAUUUACUGGGCGUAAAGAGCGCGCAGGCGGUCGUUCAAGUCGAGUGUGAAGGCCCCCGGCUCAACUGGGGAGGGUCAUUCGAUACUGAUCGACUCGAAGGCAGGAGAGGGUAGUGGAAUUCCCGGUGUAGUGGUGAAAUGCGUAGAUAUCGGGAGGAACACCAGUGGCGAAGGCGGGUCUCUGGGCCGAUACUGACGCUGAGGAGCGAAAGCGUGGGGAGCGAACAGG
rnacentral:rRNA from 1 species